rnacentral:rRNA from 1 species
CUUUCGCCAGGGACGAAGCGUAAGUGACGGUACCUGGAGAAGAAGCACCGGCCAACUACGUGCCAGCAGCCGCGGUAAUACGUAGGGUGCGAGCGUUAAUCGGAAUUACUGGGCGUAAAGCGUGCGCAGGCGGUUGUGCAAGACAGGUGUGAAAUCCCCGGGCUUAACCUGGGAAUUGCAUCCGUGACUGCACGGCUAGAGUGUGUCAGAGGGGGGUAGAAUUCCACGUGUAGCAGUGAAAUGCGUAGAUAUGUGGAGGAAUACCGAUGGCGAAGGCAGCCCCCUGGGAUAACACUGACGCUCAUGCACGAAAGCGUGGGGAGCAAACAGGAUUAGAUACCCUGGUAGUCCACGCCCUAAACUAUGUCAACUAGUUGUCGGGUCUUAAUUGACUUGGUAACGCAGCUAACGCGUGAAGUUGACCGCCUGGGGAGUACGGUCGCAAGAUUAAAACUCAAAGGAAUUGACGGGGACCCGCACAAGCGGUGGAUGAUGUGGAUUAAUUCGAUGCAACGCGAAAAACCUUACCUACCCUUGACAUGUACGGAACCCUCGAGAGAUUGAGGGGUGCUCGAAAGAGAGCCGUAACACAGGUGCUGCAUGGCUGUCGUCAGCUCGUG